rnacentral:rRNA from 1 species
GACGAACGCUGGCGGCGUGCCUAGUACAUGCAAGUUGAGCGCUGAAGGUUGGUACUUGUACCAACUGGAUGAGCAGCGAACGGGUGAGUAACGCGUGGGGAAUCUGCCUUUGAGCGGGGGACAACAUUUGGAAACGAAUGCUAAUACCGCAUAAAAACUUUAAACACAAGUUUUAAGUUUGAAAGAUGCAAUUGCAUCACUCAAAGAUGAUCCCGCGUUGUAUUAGCUAGUUGGUGAGGUAAAGGCUCACCAAGGCGAUGAUACAUAGCCGACCUGAGAGGGUGAUCGGCCACAUUGGGACUGAGACACGGCCCAAACUCCUACGGGAGGCAGCAGUAGGGAAUCUUCGGCAAUGGACGAAAGUCUGACCGAGCAACGCCGCGUGAGUGAAGAAGGUUUUCGGAUCGCAAAACUCUGUUGGUAGAGAAGAACGUUGGUGAGAGUGGAAAGCUCAUCAAGUGACGGUAACUACCCAGAAAGGGACGGCUAACUACGUG